rnacentral:lncRNA from 13 species
GCCUGGCCCACCCUGUCUCCCCUCCUGGAAGAUGAUCUCAAGAGGGCAGCACUCCUGGGCUGAGGGUCUGACAUCAUGAGUUAUUUUUAUCUCAGUGGAUUGCAAUAUCAUAACAGCACAUAUCUUGUGCCAAAAAGUGGCCCCAGGGCUGACAAAGAAGAGACAUUAUCUCAAAGGUAAACUCCUUGAUCUCAAAAUGCCUCCCAAGGUGUGCUAUUUAAAGCCAUUGCAAAAAGAGUAACAAAAAUAAACAUAGCUCAAGUGUGGCCUGCAGAACAAUGUAAUAUCUUCUCCAGUUUCCUAAUCACCACAAGAAGGCCUCAUGAAGCAAGCAGUCACUUGGCCGGAUUAGAAUUGAGGGCCAAGAAAGGUGUCCUAUCACUCUGGAUCUUUGCAAAGCUACCGUCUCUGCUUUCCUUGCUCCAAAAAAUUCGCUUACUGUGGAUUCCUUUGAGUUCCAUUGUGCUGUAAGAGUGGAUGCUGAGUAAUGGUAAUGCAUGAAGCUGCAGCAAAGGUAAGCACGAGAGCCAUGGAUUUUAACACAAUAAAAGAAAGAGAGUUCAAGGACGAUGCAAACUGGAGGAUCCAGCAAGACACCAGUCAGCAACUGGCAGUGUUUAGAGAAGGGUGGUGUCAGACCAGAAGAUACCUGGAGCACCAAACACACACAAAAGACAAACUUCAGGCAACAAAGCUUCAUUAAGCUGAUCCUUGCGAAACUCCCAGUUCAGCUGCCCAGAACUGGUCAAAAACCAGCUCUGGUGUCAAGCAAUCCUGAAGAAGAGUUGGACCUGCCAGUAAUGAGAUGGAGUCUCACUUUGUUACCCAGGAUGUCUUGAAAUUCUGGGCUAAAGAUGUCCCCCACUUCAGCCUCCCAAAGUGUUGGAAUUACAGGGCGGCCAGCAGGUGGCUUCCUAGUGAGCAGGUGGCUUUCCUGCCAGUGAGGCCAGGGAUACUGCAACCCAAGGAAGAAGCUCCAGCAGCACCCACCGUGGGCCGUUUCCUGCCAUCCCAUCCUGGCCUGUGGCAUCUCAGCAAAUUUCUCCUCCAGUGGUUCAUGGAUCCAUCAUCUCCAACAAGCAGGUGAAUAAGAUGGGAUCUGAAAUCAUCGUGGCGGAGUCCAGUGAAAGAAGCAGAAGGGAGCUGAAGUUUUCUGAGGGUGAGUCAUCUGCUACACUCCUUAUCUUCAUUUGACUGUUGGAUCUCACAUUGGGUCCAUAAUGUAAGGAACGUUUAUGAGCAAAGAAGUCUGUAUGAGUGCAUUUUUUCUUGUACUAACUGGUUUGUUACUUAGCUGUAGAGUUUGAAUCUAAAUAGAGUUAAGGUUAUGGUCAGGAUUCAAUUAGCAGGGCGUGCUGGUGCAUUCAUUUGGGAGGGUCAGAACAGAGUCCAUUUUCUAAUGAGAAAGUAGAAUUGCAGAGAGAUUAAGGAAUUCUUUUUGUCUC